rnacentral:rRNA from 1 species
GACGAACGCUGGCGGCGUGCCUAAUACAUGCAAGUAGAACGCUGAAGGAGGAGCUUGCUUCUCUGGAUGAGUUGCGAACGGGUGAGUAACGCGUAGGUAACCUGCCUGGUAGCGGGGGAUAACUAUUGGAAACGAUAGCUAAUACCACAUAAUAGUAGAUGUUGCAUGACAUUUGCUUAAAAGGUGCAAUUGCAUCACUACCAGAUGGACCUGCGUUGUAUUAGCUAGUUGGUGGGGUAACGGCUCACCAAGGCGACGAUACAUAGCCGACCUGAGAGGGGGGUCGGCCACACUGGGACUGAGACACGGCCCAGACUCCUACGGGAGGCAGCCGUAGGGAAUCUUCGGCAAUGGGCGGAAGUCUGACCGAGCAACGCCGCGUGAGUGAAGAAGGUUUUCGGAUCGUAAAGCUCUGUUGUAAGAGAAGAACGAGUGUGGGAGUGGAAAGUUCACACUGUGACGGUAUCUUACCAGAAAGGGACGGCUAACUACGUG